rnacentral:rRNA from 1 species
UACGGGGGGGGCAAGCGUUGUUCGGAAUUACUGGGCGUAAAGGGCUCGUAGGCGGGCAACUAAGUCAGACGUGAAAUCCCUCGGCUUAACCGGGGAACUGCGUCUGAUACUGGAUGGCUAGAGGUUGGGAGAGGGAUGCGGAAUUCCAGGUGUAGCGGUGGAGUGCGUAGAUAUCCGGAAGAACACCGGUGGCGAAGGCGGCCCGCUGGGCUGUUGCUGACGCUGAAGCACGACAGCGUGGGGAGCAAACAGG